rnacentral:rRNA from 1 species
UACGUAGGGGGCAAGCGUUGUCCGGAAUCAUUGGGCGUAAAGAGCGUGUAGGCUGCCAGAAAAGUCCGCUGUGAAAACUCGAGGCUCAACUUCGAGCUGUCGGUGGAAACUUUCUGGCUAGAGUCCGGAAGAGGAGAAUGGAAUUCCUGGUGUAGCGGUGAAAUGCGCAGAUAUCAGGAAGAACACCCGUGGCGAAGGCGGUUCUCUGGGACGGUACUGACGCUGAGACGCGAAAGCGUGGGGAGCGAACAGG